AACGUAAGCUUAUAUAUAAAUAAAUAAAAUAAUAUAAAUAUAUAUUUUUUCCCCGUUUAAAAAAUGCAAGACCAAAAUAAAGUUUUCACUCCGAUCAGUUUAUGCUGUAAAAUAUAAAUAAAAAAUUUUUAAAUUUAUUAUCAAUGAAAGAAAAUUAAUAAAUAAAUUUUAAUUCAAACCCGUUCUUUUUACUUUUAUUUUUAUUGUGCGGGAAAUAAAAAUUUAAAUUGUUGACUUCCCUGAUAGAUUAAAAAAUUGCUGCUGUAUUUUUGAUCGAGUUGACGUCUGUUCCAAGUUUUGACUGACAUGAACUACAAGUUGACAUCAAUCUACAUCUGUAACAGAAAUUCAAGGCGCGGGAAAAAAAACUAGAGAGCAAGUUAAUUUGAAUUUGACAGGAAGUCGGAGAAUUAAUGGACAUGUCUCAUUGCUUCGCAAAUGAGUUGUGCGAAAAUUUGAAUGAUCAAACUUUACCUCCAAAUUGACUACAAAUUUCUGUCAUCCACUUGCGCCAUCAAAUUUUUGCAGUAAACUUGACAUCUUGCGAUUUUAAAUUUUCGUCAAUUCACAAGCAAAAUGACGACCAGAAAAAAAAAUUACAAACUGUUUUCACGUUACCGGCAGUUGAUUUAAAAAAGUACUCAAGUAAACAAGAGUAACAAAAGAAAACAAUAAAAUUAAGUAAACAAACUAUUUGAAUAAUUUAAAAUAAUUAUUAUUGUACUGAUGAUCAAUAAAAAAUGUCUAAAUUACAAGACAAUUUACCAGACGUCGUUGCUCUUACAGAAGCUGCUGGUUUAAAUAUUUCCCCAUCAGUUUUAAGAAUUAUUUGUGAGUUAUUGGACCUUGGAGUUGCUCCAGAAGAUAUUUACAAACUUUUAAAAGAUUUAUCAGUACCACCACAGACAGAUGAAGCUGGAAGUUCAACCGCGUAAUUCAUAAAUUUAAAAAUAUGUUUAUGUUAUAAGUAAAUAUUUAUUUUUAUUCAAUACAAUGUACUGAAAUAUUUAAUGUCUUAAUAAUAUUAAUGAUAUUCAUUCCCGUAA